GCUAUUUAGGUUAGAGUUUGAUCAUGGCUCAGAGCGAACGCUGGCGGCAGGCCUAAUACAUGCAAGUCGAGCGGCCGUAGCAAUACGGCAGCGGCAGACGGGAGAGUAACACGUGGGAACGUACCCUUUGGUUCGGAACAACACAGGGAAACUUGUGCUAAUACCGGAUAAGUCCGCAAGGAGAAAGAUUUAUCGCCGAAGGAUCGGCCCGCGUCUGAUUAGCUUGUUGGUGAGGUAAUGGCUCACCAAGGCGACGAUCAGUAGCUGGUCUGAGAGGAUGAUCAGCCUCACUGGGACUGAGACACGGCCCAGACUCCUACGGGAGGCAGCAGUAGGGAAUAUUGGACAAUGGGCGCAAGCCUGAUCCAGCCAUGCCGCGUGAGUGAUGAAGGCCUUAGGGUUGUAAAGCUCUUUCGGCGGGGAAGAUAAUGACGGUACCGCAAGAAUAAGCCCCGGCUAACUUCGUGCCAGCAGCCGCGGUAAUGUCGGCCCAUCGCCC
rnacentral:rRNA from 1 species